rnacentral:misc_RNA from 1 species
CCGAGUUUACAAACUCCCAACCCUAUGUGAACCUUACCUAUCGUUGCUUCGGCGGGCUUUAGCCCCCGCGCCGCUCGCCGGCGCCGGGAAACAGGCGCCCGCCGGAGACCCCAAACCCAAUGUUUUCAUGCAGUAUUCUUCUGAGUGGCAAACGCAAAAAAUAAAUCA